AAGAUGUAACGCAGAUAUUGAUACCCAAUACAAGAGGUUGUGCAGCCACCAAAGGCACCGACUUGGGGAAGUGUCAAAUUCACUUUGGUGAGGAAAAUUCCCACAAGAAUCGCAGCCAAACAUGGAGGACAUAGAUUCGAGUAUGCUGAAGCGUAUUAUCCUCAUGUUUAUGGGUUGGGAGGGAUUAUGAGCAGUUCUAAACAUUAUGUCAAAAAGAACAAAUAUGAUCAAAACUUAUAUUGAGAUUAUUUUAAGAAUCAAUAAAUAUUUUACGUCUGGUUUACUAUCCAAAAUAA